AUGGGACCCGCAGUUCGGCUGUCCGUGGCGGCCGCUCUCCUCUCCUGCCUAUGUUUACAUGGGCUGUUGGGGAAUUCCGGGCAGGCAUUUGCUCAGGGCCCGCCGGUGCUCCACCGGAUCGACCACGCGGAGGAAGAUGACGACAGCGGCGGCCUCAUGCCGGAGCUCUCGCCAACCGGCUCCCCCCAGCCCUUCGUCCCCUUCCUCGCGCCCGCCCCUCUCGCGCCCUUCUACAACAACUCUACGCCCAAGUUGUCAGGCAAAUGCUCACUGAACUUCACUGCCAUCAAUGGCCUGAUGACCACCACGGCCGUCGAUUGCUUCGCCUCAUUCGCCCCGUUCCUCGCCAAUGUCAUCUGCUGUCCCCAGCUCCAGGCCACUCUCACCAUCCUCAUAGGACAGUCCAGCAAGCAGACGGGGUCUCUCGCUUUGGAUCCCACUCUUGCCAACUACUGUCUCUCUGACGUCCAGCAGCUGCUCAUGAGCCAGGGUGCGAGUGAUAAUCUCCACAGCAUUUGCUCCGUCCACCUCUCCAAUGCCACCGAGGGGUCGUGCCCCGUUAGCACCGUCGACGCAUUUGAGAGCGUCGUCGACUCAUCAAAGCUCCUUGAGGCCUGCCGGAAGGUCGACCCUGUUAACGAGUGCUGCAGCCAGACAUGCCAGAGUGCUAUAAGUGAUGCUGCCCGCAAAAUCUCUUCUAAGGACGCUGCGUUGACAAGCGACACUGCCAGUCCCAAAGUUGACAGUUGCAGGAACGUUGUACUUAGAUGGUUAUCCAGCAGGCUUGAGCCAUCAUCCGCAACCAAAAUGCUCAGGCAGAUAUCAAACUGUAAUGUCAAUGGAGGGAAACAAUGGGAGACACCGCGGUUUACCAUCGAGGUCCUGCUGUCAGAGGCUUAG
rnacentral:rRNA from 1 species